rnacentral:rRNA from 1 species
UACAGAGGGGGCAAGCGUUAUUCGGAAUUAUUGGGCGUAAAGGGCGCGUAGGCGGCCUGGCAAGUGGAAGGUGAAAUCCCUCGGCUUAACCGAGGAACUGCCCUCCAAACUGCUUGGCUUGAGACCGGGAGAGGUGAGUGGAAUUCCCAGUGUAGCGGUGAAAUGCGUAGAUAUUGGGAGGAACACCAGUGGCGAAGGCGGCUCACUGGACCGGUACUGACGCUGAGGCGCGGAAAGCGUGGGGAGCGAACGAGGA